rnacentral:rRNA from 1 species
GGAAACCUGCGGAGCAAUCCCGCGUGAGGGAGGAAGGCUCUUGGGUUGUAAACCUUUUUUUCUCAGGGAAGAAAAAAAUGACGGUACCUGAGGAAUAAGCAUCGGCUAACUCCGUGCCAGCAGCCGCGGUAAUACGGAGGAUGCAAGCGUUAUCCGGAAUGAUUGGGCGUAAAGGGUCCGCAGGUGGCUAUGUAAGUCUGCUGUUAAAGAACCUAGCUUAACUAGGUAAAAGCAGUGGAAACUACAAGGCUAGAGUGCGUUCGGGGUAGAGGGAAUUCCUGGUGUAGCGGUGAAAUGCGUAGAUAUCAGGAAGAACACCAGUGGCGAAGGCGCUCUACUAGGCCGCAACUGACACUGAGGGACGAAAGCUAGGGGAGCGAAUGGGAUUAGAUACCCCAGUAGUCCUAGCCGUAAACGAUGGAUACUAGGCGUGGCUUGUAUCGACCCAAGCCGUGCCGGAGCUAACGCGUUAAGUAUCCCGCCUGGGGAGUACGCACGCAAGUGUGAAACUCAAAGGAAUUGACGGGGGCCCGCACAAGCGGUGGAGUAUGUGGUUUAAUUCGAUGCAACGCGAAGAACCUUACCAAGACUUGACAUGUCGCGGAUCUUCUUGAAAGGGAAGAGUGCCUUCGGGAGCGCGAACACAGGUGGUGCAUGGCUGUCGUCAGCUCGUGUCGUGAGAUGUUGGGUUAAGUCCCGCAACGAGCGCAACCCUCGUUUUUAGUUGCCAGCAUUAAGUUGGGCACUCUAGAGAGACUGCCGGUGACAAACCGGAGGAAGGUGGGGAUGACGUCAAGUCAGCAUGCCCCUUACGUCUUGGGCUACACACGUACUACAAUGCUACGGACAAAGGGUAGCUACACAGCAAUGUGAUGCCAAUCUCAGAAACCGUAGCUCAGUUCAGAUCGCAGGCUGCAACUCGCCUGCGUGAAGUCGGAAUCGCUAGUAAUUGCAGGUCAGCAUACUGCAGUGAAUUCGUUCCCGGGCCUUGUACACACCGCCCGUCACACCAUGGAAGCUGGUCACGCCCGAAGUCGUUACCCCAAGAUGCCGAAGCAGACUAUUC